AUGUCAGAUGGGCCCAGCCUUGAACUUGGAGGUGUUUCUAUCCAAAGAAGACGAGACGUAAAUUUCCCUCCAGCCGCCCUGCCGAGUCACCCUAAGGAUUGGAAUUUCACCUGGUUCUACUUCAAACACACCUCUCCAGCAGAUGAAAAUCCACUACUGGGUUUCCGUCCCUACCGGCUCACCACCACCGCUCAACUUCAAGGCCGGCUUACUGCUACUGAACGCGCCGCCUUUGGCCCUACCUUUUCAGAGAUAAGGGCUCUAAUUGCGAAUGGAUUAAGCGGCAUCGAUCUGGUUCAUUGCUGGGUUGCAUGGAGGAUUAUGCCAUUGAGCCGGCGCCCCGGCUUAAUGUGCCAAUAUACUGGUGACCCAAAGGACUCACAGUGUUUCAACUCAAUACGCCUAGAGAACAAAGAGAUUAAUGAGUCUGUAAAAACAUUGCUUGACGAGUCUCUAGAAGAUUGCAGCAAAGUGGGACUAAACCCCUUUUGUACUCUUAACCCGACUCCUCCUGUAAGUGAUUUUAAUCCAUUCUUCAUUUCAUAUAUAUUUCAUGCGCAUCAUAUUUUUAUCUUCCUUGCUCAUAUCAAAACAAGCAGACUAUCCCUUUUGGAGGAAGAAACUGCCACCGGCCGCCCUAAUCAAGAAGCCCAAAACAAAAGCUCGAGGCACAGGUCGCCGCAAGAAACCCUCAGCCGAAGAACUUCUCAAGCUUGA
rnacentral:rRNA from 1 species